rnacentral:lncRNA from 1 species
UAUCAUUCUCUCAUUUUUGAAAAGAAUUCAUCCUCGAAUCCAAACCUUGUAAAACCAAAAGAAGCCAAGUAUGCACACACUUCACAUAUAACCAAACAUAGCAUUAUGCCAAGGUUGCACACACUUCACAUAUAACCAAACAUAGCAUUAUGCCAAGGUUGCACACACUUCACAUAUAACCAAACAUCCUUCAAGAUAUUGGAAGAAAAGUCAACAUUCAAAGUGCAAAGGAGUUGGCUACGAAAAACAUCAAGAAAUUCUCCUUAGUCCCAUUAACAACAUUACAAAGCAA